ensembl:lncRNA
CGAGAACCUGGUUCCUCAGAGCAGUGUGAGAACCUGGUUCCUCAGAGCAGCGCCAGAACCUGGUUCCUCAGAGCAGCGCAAGAACCUGGUUCCUCAGAGCAGUGUGAGAACCUGGUUCCUCAGAGCAUGCGAGAACCUGGUUCCUCAGAGCCACACGGACAGAACCCGGUGUUGUGUGGUUCCCUCUCCUCGUUGUGACCUGAGGCCACCAGGAACCACAGCCUCUGUCCUUGUGUCACUGUCUCUAGCUCUGUGUCCAGCCGCUGUAAUCAGGCGCCAUGCAGAGACCUCACAUGUCCUAAUAGUCAUAAUAUAAAAGUCAUAAUAUACUCAGAAUAUAAUCUUUCAUCUUGUCAUCUAUUUAAGGUCUUGUGUGAAGAUAUUCGUGCACAUACAAAAGGUAUAUGAUCGCAAAGAGAUACCACACGCAAUCUCACACACACACGCACACUCAUGCCAGCAAUAUGUCCACACACAAACUCACACGCACACACACACUCAUACCAGCAAUAUGUCCACACGCGCAAUCUCACAAGUACACUCAUACCAGCAAUAUGUCCACACACAAACUCACACGCACACACACACUCAUACCAGCAAUAUGUCCACACACGCGUCAUGUGUCAUUAAUUAUGCGUGGAAUCACGUGGUCAGCUUAGGUUCAUUAUCUGGCGAGAAUAAUUAAUCCCUCUUGACAUUUUAUUGUAUCUCUGAAUGUUGAUAUAUUUGAUUAGUAUAUAAAUGACUGUUAACGUUACUUUGCCAUAGAUAGGGUUGGUUGUUACAGGUGUGCCUGGUACGUAGAGCCAGCAGAAGACAUAGCAGGGGGGCAUUGCAGUGUUAAUACCAGAUUUCACCACUUCACCACCGGACGCAGAGCCCCACUCAGACACCACAGACCUCCUCAGUGGAGAGAUGUGUCCUGGUCGAUGGUAGUGUUACUGUAUAUAUAUAUCAACUUGUUACUGUAAGCCUACUGUAUACAGCUCAACCGCUACUGGGUUUUGUUGACCUUCAAACUGUUUUCAGUGGCUAAACCAGAUGUCGUUCCUUGGAUCUUGUUUCGGAAAAAUCGGUUUAUUUAUAUUUGAUUGUAGAAGCGUUGUUUUAUUAACAUAUAUUCACAUAAUGGAGGUGGAUGUGUAUUAAACAAUUCUCAUCCUAUCAUCUCUCGGUUCCUUCUGCUCCUAAAGGCUCACUAGUAGGUUUGGUGGUGGAGGGGGUGGGGAAGACACUGGAUGCAUGUUCAGAUAUGUAUGUGAUGUAACAGAAUCCUGCUGUACUGAAAAAUAAACCUCUUUUCUUUAAGAUGUGUUUGAACGUAUGUCCGCUGUAGCGCUCUGUCGCCACAAGAGGGCAGGCUACAAACAUUAUCCAGUACAAAUAGUGAGAAGAAUAUUAGUGUCAUCAUUCAAAUUGAUGGAAACUUUUAUUUAAAACUCUUAACUAUUUAUAAUACUUUUUCGAUGGCAUUUUCAUGGUUUUCAUUUGUGUUGUCUAUGCCAUUUUUGCUAUCUAUGCCGAUAGGCCUAUAUCUCAAAG